CGACAAGGUAAGCACCAUCUUGCUUCCAUGUGAGUUGCUGUAGAGAGGGCACCAUGUGGUUUCUUUGGUGAGGUGGUACUAUGCUGCGGACUGCGGUAUGUUGAAAGAUUUUCCUCAUAAAGCUUUCAGCCUGUCACAGUGGAUGUCCUUUGUCUGUUUGACUGUGGGGGUGUUGUUGCCCGGUGGCCCACCUAGAAGUCACUUUGGUCUAUAGUACGCUUAUACUGUGUCUCUCUAUCUCCCCCUGACAUCCUUGACUUUUGGUGCAUCCCCCUGACAUCCUUGACUUUUGGUGUAUCUCUAUGUCUACUAGGCACAGCCUUAUGUCUCUCUAUGCAGUGUCUGUUUUUAUGGCGAUGUCCAAGGAACGCAUGUAUCGCCUGUGUGCUUGGUACAGCAGCGCGUAAGCGGCCUAUCAAAUCGACAUGCGCGCACUAUGCCACGGUUGAAAGUCUCAAAGCUACUGCGCUGCCUCGGUUGGCUUCUUCGCUUUGUUUUCGUCUUUGCCGCAUUCGCUCUUACACCCAUGGUGAACACUAGGAUGGAUCAUAGCUGCUGUAGUGCUGCCACUGCUUAGGAUCUGCAUCUCGCCUCUAGUGUCCUCUAAACCCUUCUGGUGCGGACACGGAGCACCCCAGGUCGCUCGGGCCAGGUGGUUGGUUUCCAGAUUUUUUGCUCGCCUCUGCUAGCACGUGACCUUCGGUCUUGUGAGGUGUAUAUAUCCACCCUUCUCCUACAAUUUCUGUGUUUAGUUUUGCUUUCGUUUUUUCGCAUAUGCCUUUGUGUUUGCUAUGUGUUU